GCGGGCAGGAGGGGGCGGAAAAAGGAGGAAGAAGGUCGGGCAAACUUGGAGCCAACCAAUUACAGCAGCGCUAGCUGCGAUCUUGGCCAGCACGGAAUCUCGGGGAGGAAUAACGCAAGGCAUGAAGGGAGGGGUGCGGGCCUGGGAGCCCGGGAAGAGAAGACGGAAGUGGAGCGAGGACAAAAUGGCCGCGAAGAUUUUCACCUGAUCCCCUAGCUUCAAGCCCCAGGCCUCAGCUCAACCUUCUGCGAUACCUGUAUAGCUUCCAGUCCUUGAGCCUUUUACUGAACUGGCUUGCCCACCAUAGGCACAGGGGUUUCAGCCGCUGUGUUUUGAAAUGAUGUGUUCACUCAGAUGGAAAGAAGCCCACCUUCCCCGCAGGCACCCAUCGUGAGCCGUCAUGCCUGUAUCCUGCACAAAUUAGGGGCAUGUAGAGCCGUAUCCUGGGAUGGUAAGGGUUGAGCUGUUGAAAACAUCAGAAAAAAAGUAGUUCAGGAGUCACAAAGUUCACAAAUCUAAAACUCCAUUGAAAGUUACUUCUAAAUACCAUCACGGUACACAUUUGUAUGAUAUUCACGCACAGCAUAAAAAGUGUAUGGCAAGAUCUUUGUUUUUCUUCCCCAAAUGAUUUCAAAAAUAAUAUACAUCAUUCCAAAAUAGGAUUUAGGUGAUCAGUUUUUUCCUUCCCCCAAAAUAGUUUGACCAUUGAGUUUGAGACCAUUGUUCUCUUCCCCCAAAUAUAAAAGGUACAGAAAUUUCACUUGCCCCAUCAGUUCCAUUGAGAAAUAUUUCUGGGUAG